rnacentral:rRNA from 1 species
AAAUUUGAAAGCUGGUACCUUCGGUAUCCGCGUUGUAACCUCGAGACACGUUUUCCGUGCGGCGCUAUGGACAAGUUCCUUGGAACAGGACAUCGUAGAGGGUGAAAAUCCCGUACUUGCCAUGGAUGUACCGUGCUUUGCGAUACGUGCUCUAAGAGUCGAGUUGUUUGGGAUUGCAGCUCAAAAUGGGUGGUAGACUCCAUCUAAAGCUAAAUAUCGGGGAGAGACCGAUAGCGAACAAGUACCGUGAGGGAAAGAUGAAAAGCACUUUGGAAAGAGAGUUAAAAGUACGUGAAAUUGUCGAAAGGGAAGCGCUUGAAGUCAGCCAUGCCGCUCAGGACUCAGCCUGGCUUUUGCUUGGUGUAUUUCCUGGGUAGCAAGUCAGCAUUGGUUUGGAUCGUCGGAGAAGCAUAGUUGGAAUGUGGCGCCCUCGGGCGUGUUAUAGCCUUCUAUUGGAUACGACGAUCUGGACCAAGGAACGCAGCGCGCCUUAUGGCGGGUCUUCGGACACCUUCGCGCUUAGGAUGCUGGCGUAAUGGCUUUAAGUGGCCCGUC